UACGUAGGUGACCAGCGUUGUCCGGAUUUACUGGGCGUAAAGCGCACGCAGGUGGCUGAGUCAGUCGAUUGUGAAAGCCCUGGGCUUAACCUGGGAAUUGCAGUCGAUACUACUCAGCUAGAGUAUGGGAGAGGGUAGUGGAAUUCCCGGUGUAGCGGUGAAAUGCGUAGAUAUCGGGAGGAACAUCAGUGGCGAAGGCGGCUACCUGGCCCAAUACUGACACUCAGGUGCGACAGCGUGGGGAGCAAACAGG
rnacentral:rRNA from 1 species